GCAUGUAUGGCUGAGUGGUCGAAAGCGAUGGACUCAUAAUCCGUUUCCUAUUGGACGUCGUAGGUUCAAACCCUGCUACAUGCA
rnacentral:tRNA from 1 species